rnacentral:sRNA from 1 species
GGUAACUCCUUUCUGAGUACUGGGAUAUGCAGCCACAGUACCAUUUCUGUCAACACGUUGCGUACUCCCUACACUGCUCCUGGUGAGAGUGAGAUUCUGG